rnacentral:rRNA from 1 species
CCUACGGGAGGCAGCAGUGAGGAAUAUUGGUCAAUGGACGAGAGUCUGAACCAGCCAAGUAGCGUGAAGGAUGACUGCCCUAUGGGUUGUAAACUUCUUUUAUAAAGGAAUAAAACGAGGCACGUGUGCCUUUUUGCAUGUACUUUAUGAAUAAGGAUCGGCUAACUCCGUGCCAGCAGCCGCGGUAAUACGGAGGAUCCGAGCGUUAUCCGGAUUUAUUGGGUUUAAAGGGAGCGUAGAUGGGUUGUUAAGUCAGUUGUGAAAGUGUGCGGCUCAACCGUAAAAUUGCAAUUGAUACUGGCAGUCGUGAGUACAGUUGAGGCAGGCGGAAUUCGUGGUGUAGCGGUGAAAUGCUUAGAUAUCACGAAGAACCCCGAUUGCGAAGGCAGCUUACUAAACUGUGACUGACAUUGAUGCUCGAAAGUGUGGGUAUCAAACAGGAUUAGAUACCCGGGUAGUC